UCAAGAAACUUCCACAAUGGGCGAAAGCCUGAUGGAGCGACGUCGCGUGAUGGACGAAGUGCUUCGGCACGUAAACAUCUUUUAUGUGGGAUGAAAUUAUUGACAGUACCACAUGAAUAAGGGGCUCCUAACUCUGUGCCAGCAGGAGCGGUAAUACAGAGGCCCCAAGCGUUAUCCGGAAUCACUGGGCGUAAAGGGUGUCGAGGCGGUUGUAUUAGUCGUUCGUAAAAUCUACGAGCUUAACUUGUAGGCGGCGAACGAAACGGUACGACUUGAGGUUUGGAGAGGUGCGUGGAACUUACGGUGUAGGGGUGAAAUCCGUUGAUAUCGUGGGGAACACCAAAGGCGAAGGCAGCGCACUGGCCAAAAUCUGACGCUCACACACGAAAGCUAGGGUAGCGAAGAGGAUUAGAUACCCAGGUAGUCCCUGAGCGGGCUGGCAAGGCGCAU
rnacentral:rRNA from 1 species